GAUGAAGAACGCAGCGAAAUGCGAUAAGUAAUGUGAAUUGCAGAAUUCAGUGAAUCAUCGAAUCUUUGAACGCACCUUGCACCCUUUGGCAUUCUGAAGGGUAUGCUCGUUUGAGUGUCAUUGUACUCUCACACUCCCGAUCUUUGCAUUGGGAGCAGUGGACUUGGGUUUGCUGCUUCACCGUCGCUUACCUCAAAUAGGUUAGUGCAACUCUUGGUUGGACAUAGUACGGCGUGAUAAGUGUUCUUCGCCGGUGCCUCGCAAAGAGGGUGGCCGAUCGGGAUGUUGUGCUCCAAACCGUCUUCGGACAAUCUCUGACGACUUGACCUCAAAUCGAGUAAGACUACCCGUUGAACUUAAGCAUAUCAAUAAGCGGAGGA
rnacentral:misc_RNA from 1 species